AACGAACGCUGGCGGCAUGCCUAACACAUGCAAGUCGAACGAGACCUUCGGGUCUAGUGGCGCACGGGUGCGUAACGCGUGGGAACCUGCCCUUAGGUUCGGAAUACCUCCCCGAAAGGGGUGCUAAUACCGGAUAAUGUCUUCGAACCAAAGAUUUAUCGCCCUUGGAUGGGCCCGCGUUGGAUUAGCUAGUUGGUAGGGUAAAAGCCUACCAAGGCGACGAUCCAUAGCUGGUCUGAGAGGAUGAUCAGCCACACUGGGACUGAGACACGGCCCAGACUCCUACGGGAGGCAGCAGUGGGGAAUAUUGGACAAUGGGCGAAAGCCUGAUCCAGCAAUGCCGCGUGAGUGAUGAAGGCCUUAGGGUUGUAAAGCUCUUUUACCCGGGAUGAUAAUGACAGUACCGGGAGAAUAAGCUCCGGCUAACUCCGUG
rnacentral:rRNA from 1 species